GGGGAUGACCGGCUUUGACAGCAAGGUAAAUAAAAUAGUAAGCAUGUCGAGUAUUGUUAUACUCACUCGUUAAAAAAGUAUGCAAAAUUUUAAAUGGCGAGUCUAACUACGCUUUAGCUGCUUAAUUAUAUAAUUAAAUAGCUUUUGUCCCUAAUUUAGGUUUGUUCAACACCUAAAAUCAGGGGCAUCAUUAAGUUGAACUAGAUUUAAUAUUUCCUGGAUAUUAAAUUAAAAUUUUACAGGAUAAGAUAAAUUUUGCUAGUGUUAUAGCUGAAUUUAUUCGAAAAUAAAAUAACACUAAACAUGUAGAAACCUAUUUUGUUGCUUGUUUGGACCAGGGUUCGAUUCCCUGCAUCUCCACAA
rnacentral:tmRNA from 1 species